AGGACUCCGAAGGAAGUGAGAAGGGUUUGAAAAAGAAGAGACAUAGGUCCAGAUCAGCUAGUGGGGCUAGCAAAUCCGAUAGUUCUGAAUCUGAAACGAGAAAAUCGAGAAGGAGGAAAAAUAAAAAGAAACGGGGUCGUAGUCAUUCGCGUUCACACUCGAGGCUCCCAUCAUCCGAAGAAUCUCCAGAUCGAAGGAGAAAAGAUGAAAAGCAUCGACGUCCUUCUGCUCAAAGUGAGGGAUCAGCUAACGACAAUGGGGAGCAUCACGAGCUCUCCGAAGACGAAUUAGAAAAACAGAAAGCUCAGAUUCUUAGAGAACUUCAGAUGCAACAGGAAGACAAUUGAAUAAAAUAUUAUGAAGGCAAUAAUAAUAAUAAUAAUUAUUGCACAGGAUAUAUUCUCAAGAGACUUUUUUUAAUUUGAAAUUUGAGAAUUUCCUGAGCAUUUUUUCACAAAUUAUGUUUUAAAACAUAGACAUUAACAGUGUUUUGUAUUUAAACUCGUUAAUAAAGUAAGAAAUAAUCGCGAUUUUCCGCGGGAUUUGUGAAAGCAGUUUUAUGUUAAUGAAGUAUAGAGGAAGAUGAAAUAUGGAAAGAGAAUAAAGUAUCGUAUUUGACAAGUGAA